AGAGUUUGAUCAUGGCUCAGAUUGAACGCUGGCGGCAUGCCUUACACAUGCAAGUCGAACGGUAACGCGGGGCAACCUGGCGACGAGUGGCGAACGGGUGAGUAAUGCAUCGGAACGUGCCCAGUAGUGGGGGAUAGCCCGGCGAAAGCCGGAUUAAUACCGCAUACGACCUACGGGUGAAAGCGGGGGACCGUAAGGCCUCGCGCUAUUGGAGCGGCCGAUGUCAGAUUAGGUUGUUGGUGGGGUAAAAGCCUACCAAGCCGACGAUCUGUAGCUGGUCUGAGAGGACGACCAGCCACACUGGGACUGAGACACGGCCCAGACUCCUACGGGAGGCAGCAGUGGGGAAUUUUGGACAAUGGGCGCAAGCCUGAUCCAGCCAUGCCGCGUGCGGGAAGAAGGCCUUCGGGUUGUAAACCGCUUUUGUCAGGGAAGAAACGCCUUGGGCUAAUACCUCGAGGUAAUGACGGUACCUGAAGAAUAAGCACCGGCUAACUACGUGCCAGCAGCCGCGGUAAUACGUAGGGUGCAAGCGUUAAUCGGAAUUACUGGGCGUAAAGCGUGCGCAGGCGGUUAUGCAAGACAGAUGUGAAAUCCCCGGGCUCAACCUGGGAACUGCAUUUGUGACUGCAUAGCUAGAGUACGGUAGAGGGGGAUGGAAUUCCGCGUGUAGCAGUGAAAUGCGUAGAUAUGCGGAGGAACACCGAUGGCGAAGGC
rnacentral:rRNA from 1 species